CUGCCAAAGGAAAUUUGCCCC
rnacentral:miRNA from 1 species